CAAUAGCGUAUAUUUAAGUUGUUGCAGUUAAAAAGCUCGUAGUUGGAUUUCGGGUGUCACUUGCCGGUCCGCCGUUUCGGUGUGCACUGGCGGGCGUCAUCUUUCUGUCGAGGACGCGCUCCUGUCCUUCAUUGGGUGGGACGCGGAGUCGGCGAGGUUACUUUGAAAAAUUAGAGUGUUCAAAGCGGGCUUACGCUUGAAUAUAUUAGCAUGGAAUAACACUAUAGGACUCCUGUCCUAUUUUGUUGGUCUUCGGGACGGGAGUAAUGAUUAAGAGGAACAGUUGGGGGCAUUCGUAUUUCAUUGUCAGAGGUGAAAUUCUUGGAUUUAUGAAAGACGAACUUCUGCGAAAGCAUUUGCCAAGGAUGUUUUCAUUAAUCAAGAACGAAAGUUGGGGGCUCGAAGACGAUUAGAUACCAU
rnacentral:rRNA from 1 species